ACUGCCACCAGUCAACUCUGAACGGAGAAUGUCGUCGUUUUCCAUUUCUCUCUCUCACUGUGUCCAAACCAGUAGCCCAGUACCCUACGCCUUCUGUCUGUUGUUAUUGUGGAGUACAAAACAAAACAAAAAACAAAUGCGCACUGCGUAUCUUAGCAUCAGCCCCUGCGAUUCGUAUCCCAGGCCUUUUCAUUUCAAAACGGAAACAGGGGUUUAGGGUUUUACACUGUUUUCGUUGCUUCAUCCUUUAUCGAGAGAGAGAGAGAGAGAGAAUGGUGAACCCGAGGUGCUUCCUGGACAUAAGCAUUGGAGGAGAGGUGGAAGGGAGGAUAGUGGUGGAGCUUUACAAAGAUGUCGUCCCCAAAACGGCCGAGAACUUCAGGGCUCUCUGUACCGGUGAGAAGGGCAUUGGCCCUAACACCGCCGCUCCCCUCCAUUUCAAGGGUUCCUGUUUUCAUCGCAUCAUAAAAGGCUUCAUGAUACAUGGUGGAGACAUAUCUGCUGGGAAUGGCACCGGUGGAGAAUCCAUCUAUGGCCUGAAAUUUGAAGAUGAAAAUUUUGAGCUAAAGCAUGAAAGAAAAGGAAUGCUCUCAAUGGCUAAUGAUGACAGUCCAAAUACCAAUGGAUCUCAGUUUUUUAUUACUACCACUCGAACUUCUCAUUUGGAUGGAAAGCAUGUUGUUUUUGGGAAGGUAAUCAAAGGGAUGGGGGUGGUUCGUUUGAUUGAGCAUGUAACUACGGGUGAAUAUUAUUAUCCAACUCUUGACGUUGUAAUAGCGAAUUGUGGAGAAAUUGCUGAGGGGGCGGAUGAUGGGAUCUCUAACUUCUUUAAAGAUGGUGAUGUGUACCCUGAUUGGCCAGCUGACCUUGAUGUCAAGACAGAUAAAAUUUCUUGGUGGAUGACUGCUGUAGACUCCAUUAAAGCUUUUGGAAAUGAACAUUUCAAGAAACAAGAUUAUAAAAUGGCUCUUAGGAAGUAUCGUAAGGCUCUGAACUUCUUAGAUGUAUGCUGGGAUAUGGAAGACAUGGAUCAAGAGAAAAGCUCAUCUUUGAGGAAGACAAAGUCUCAGAUAUUUACAAAUAGCUCUGCCUGCAAAUUGAAAUUAGGAGAUUUAGAAGGAGCAUUAUUGGACACGGACUUCGCAUUGCGUGAUGCAGAUGAUAAUGUGAAAGCUUUGUUCCGCCAAGGCCAGGCAUACAUGGCACUUAAUGAUGUGGAUGCUGCAGUCGAAAGUUUCAAAAAAGCAUUGGAGUUGGAGCCAAAUGAUGGUGGUAUAAAGAAAGAGCUCACUGCUGCAAAGAAGAGAAUUGUUGAUAGACGUGACCAGGAGAAAAAAGCUUACUCAAAAAUGUUUCAGUAGAGUUCAUGCAGUAACAUGGUAUAUUGGGAAUGGUCUAAUUUUCAACCUUUAGGUCACAUGCUACAUCAGAUAGGCUCGGCUUCAGGCUUUUUCAUAUGGAGACUUUGAUUGGCUUUAAGAGGCCAAAGGUUUUGUUGGAAAGCAAAGAAACCUUAUGGCGUUAUCAGAUAGUUGAACGGCAACUGUGGUAGGCUUAAAGCUCGAAUCACAUAGUGUCCUGAACAUUUUUGUUACUCCUAAAGAUAGUUGUAGCACUUCAUUAAAUUCCAUUACAAGCUGAAAUUAGUUAAUAUCUGAUUGAUUAUAUCUGUAUCAUCCAAACAGUCUUGUUAUCUACCAUACUAGAAAAGUUCAGAUGCAAGCAAGAAUGGAUGGUUUCAAGAAGUAA